CCUACGGGAGGCUGCAGUGGGGAAUAUUGGACAAUGGGCGAAAGCCUGAUCCAGCCAUGCCGCGUGUGUGAAGAAGGCCUUCGGGUUGUAAAGCACUUUCAGUGGGGAAGAAAGCCUUGGGGCUAAUACCCUCGAGGAAGGACAUCACCCACAGAAGAAGCACCGGCUAACUCCGUGCCAGCAGCCGCGGUAAUACGGAGGGUGCGAGCGUUAAUCGGAAUUACUGGGCGUAAAGCGCGCGUAGGCGGUCUGAUAAGCCGGUUGUGAAAGCCCCGGGCUCAAACUGGGAACGGCAUCCGGAACUGUCAGGCUAGAGUGCAGGAGAGGAAGGUAGAAUUCCCGGUGUAGCGGUGAAAUGCGUAGAGAUCGGGAGGAAUACCAGUGGCGAAGGCGGCCUUCUGGACUGACACUGACGCUGAGGUGCGAAAGCGUGGGUAGCAAACAGGAUUAGAUACCCUGGUAGUC
rnacentral:rRNA from 1 species